UUUUUUUUUUGGUAACACAAAAUUACCCAAGGUAUAGUAAACAAAGAAGACACAGACAAUAAAAACUAACAGAUGCCACAUUUUGCAAACAUAGCAUUUGGCUAGAGGCAGAAUUAUAAGGUAUACAUAUUAAAACAUACAUCCAAGACUCUCCUCCUCAAUUUGAAACCAUGUUUAUCAAGUUUUUACUUCAUUGUAUAUAAGCCAAAAAAUUAAGAGAACCUUGAUUUGUUCCUGAAAUACAAGAUUUGCUUGUAUUAUUACUGGACCAGGUAGACUGGAUAUGUGAAUGUUUAAUUCAUAGUUAGCUAGCUUUACCAUCAUCUCCUGAAUCAGCUGCUGAGGAUGCCUGUGCCUCUGCCCAUAACUAUAUAUAGAGUAUGCUUUCAAAACAAUAUAGGCCGGGUGUGGUGGCUCACACCUGUAAUCCCAGCACUUGUGGAGGCCAAGGCGGGCGGAUCACGAGGUCAAGAGAUUCAGAUC
rnacentral:lncRNA from 1 species